CCUACGGGUGGCUGCAGUGGGGAAUUUUGGACAAUGGGGGCAACCCUGAUCCAGCCAUGCCGCGUGAGUGAAGAAGGCCUUCGGGUUGUAAAGCUCUUUCGGCCGGGAAGAAAUCGCUUCGGCUAAUACCUGGAGUGGAUGACGGUACCGGAAGAAGAAGCACCGGCUAACUACGUGCCAGCAGCCGCGGUAAUACGUAGGGUGCGAGCGUUAAUCGGAAUUGCUGGGCGGAAUUCGUGCGCAGGCGGUGAAAUCCCCGGGCUUAACCUGGGAACUGCGUUUGUGACUGCGAGACUUGAGUGCGGCAGAGGGGGGUGGAAUUCCACGUGUAGCAGUGAAAUGCGUAGAGAUGUGGAGGAACACCGAUGGCGAAGGCAGCCCCCUGGGUCGACACUGACGCUCAUGCACGAAAGCGUGGGGAGCAAACAGGAUUAGAUACCCUUGUAGUC
rnacentral:rRNA from 1 species